rnacentral:rRNA from 1 species
AUUGAACGCUGGCGGCAGGCCUAACACAUGCAAGUCGAGCGCGCGGCGGACGGGUGAGUAAUGUCUGGGAAACUGCCUGAUGGAGGGGGAUAACUACUGGAAACGGUAGCUAAUACCGCAUACCAUCAGAUGUGCCCAGAUGGGAUUAGCUAGUAGGUGGGGUAACGGCUCACCUAGGCGACUAUCCCUAGCUGGUCUGAGAGGAUGACCAGCCAAACUGGAACGGAGACACGGUCCAGACUCCGACCUUGUGCAUCAGGUUACAAUAUUGCACAAGGGGCGCAAGCCUGAGUCAGCCAUGCCGCGUGUGUGAAGAAGGCCUUCGGGUUGUAAAGCACUUUCAGCGGGGAGGCGUUACCCGCAGAAGAAGCACCGGCUAACUCGGUGCCAGCAGCCGCGGUAAUUC